rnacentral:ribozyme from 12 species
AAAGAGAGAAAGAUGAUGCUAUUUUAUUUUUUUCGUCCGUUUUUUUACUUUCUUUCUUCAUUUCCUUUUCCUUUUCUUUUU